AUGAGCUAUUCAAGGUCUAUUGGCUUUAUUGCUUAUGUGGUACUUCGACCGCGAAGCCUCGCUUAUGCACCGAGAAAGAUCGUAGAUAGGAAAGAUCUGUUAUGCACCAACGACGGCCCCUUCUCUUUACCUUUAUCGUCUCAUACCUCAGUCCAUUGCUGGCUUGAAUGCUGUCUCUCUUCUUCUUUGCUCGCGAGAGUGAAUAAGAGGACGACCCACCGGGGGGAGGAUGGAAUGAGUCGGCAAGGGGAUCAACCAUCUUCUUUCAGUAAAGGCCCACACAUUAUCCUUAAUAUUGGGAUAAAAGGACUCUGA
rnacentral:rRNA from 1 species